CGAUCGAUAACCAAGGCCCGCCGUUAAAAAAAAGGAAAGCCGAUCGCACGACCCGCACGACCACCCUCUUCGCACGACUCUCGCCCCUGCGCGCACAACCUCCCCUCCUCCUCCCGCGCCGUUCGCCGCCCCGCAAACUCCGGCAGACGUUAGCCGCCCUUCGCCGUAGGAGCCGUCAUAGGAGCCGCUCGCAUCUGGAGCCGCCGCCCCGCGGGAGCCGCUCGCCGCUGCAGCCGCCGCCCGCGGGAGCCGCUUGCCGCGCGAGCCGGAGCCGCCCUGCCCCUGGAUCCGCUCGCCGCUGGUCGCCGACGGAGCUGCCCCGCCCCUGGAUCCGCUCGCCGCCGGAGCCGCCCGUCGCUCUCCCACUCAGCUUGGCCUCUCGAGUUGCAGCCUACUGCUUGCAAUCACUGAAAAAGAAAUUGCUUUGCCAGAGCGUGCAUGGAUGUGCAGGGUGUAGUGUUGCCGUUUGAUUCAGAGUGGAGAAUGUAUGGAGCUCCCAAGUCUGACCCCUCUACCAGUGUUAAAAUUAACAAUAACUAGGAUGCACUCAGAAUACUCAUGUAUUUGUUUCCCAUAUUAUUAUCAAUCCAAGGAUCGAAGAUUGUUUCCCAUGUUAUUAUCAAUCCAAGGAUCGAAGAAGAAAAAAAAGGGACAUAGCAAAAUUGACUUUAGAGAGAUGGACCAGGAUCUACAAAAAUGAUCACACUUAGGGCAGAAUAAUGAUGAAGCCCCGUGCUUUUCUAAUCCAGGGGUCACUUCUGACCUGGCUAAGAGAAGAUCAGAAGAACAUUUAGGGAUACGAUGGAAGGGAGUUAGUUCCCUAUCUGAAACUGUUUAACGUCCUCUAUCUCAUCAGACUAAUAAACAAAGGUAUGACUCGUAUUUCUAAGAAACGGAGGCCCAUGUGGGACACAAGAUAAAUUUCUCCUGCUAUUGUUGAGAUCAAUGAAGAUGGGUCUCCUGAGUACACAGAUAAUCGCCGUAAAAAUUGCUCUCCAGCCUCUGCUCCUCCAUCGAACUAUUAACAUGCCCCGUUUAUUUAUUUUCCCAUAAUAUGUCUCAUCUACUUGCAGCCAUGGAAUAUUCGCAUAUCUUCACUACAAAAUGUGACCAAGAUGGAAGAGGCCCUCCUACAAACUUUGCUGCAUGUAUUUGUUGCUUGUAAGGCAGCUGCCCAACUAGCAUUUAUAAUUUCUUGUGGAUUUACAUGGUGUGCAUGAAAUUUCUCUUACAUGCAAACUUGUAUACUUGGAAAUCAGGGUUCUAUGCAUUACUAACCAGAAUCCGGGGAUUUUGUUUUGUUGUGAACACAAUCAAAUCAAUUAGUUUUCCAAUGUUUA